AAACUGAAGAGUUUGAUCAUGGCUCAGAUUGAACGCUGGCGGCAGGCUUAACACAUGCAAGUCGAACGAUGACUCUCUAGCUUGCUAGAGAAGAUUAGUGGCGGACGGGUGAGUAACAUUUAGGAAUCUGCCUAGUAGUGGGGGAUAGCUCGGGGAAACUCGAAUUAAUACCGCAUACGACCUACGGGUGAAAGGGGGCGCAAGCUCUUGCUAUUAGAUGAGCCUAAAUCAGAUUAGCUAGUUGGUGGGGUAAAGGCCCACCAA
rnacentral:rRNA from 1 species